ensembl:lncRNA
GGAGGUUGAAGUUGGUCGCACCCACACCUUUAUUCCUGAAGUGGUCAGUUGGUGCUGUGCCUGGCACCUGUCACGUGCAUGGCACCUGCUGGAGUGAGUGCCUUGCAGUGCACAACAGUGCAGAAGUGGUGUGUUAAAGCUCAGUGCAUUAGCUGUGAGCAAACAGAGUAGCUGAGUUGUCCUGCUGCUGGGAGACCUCUGCACUGUGUCUGUGAAAGAAGUGAAAUGGCCACUGACUGCUGAUGAUGACCAACUUCUUAUGUACUGGUUUGUCCCUUCUUUUCUGUUACUAUUAUUGCCUUAGGCCUUACCUGCACUGAGUGGCUUCAACAGAUGUUAUGCAGUGUUGUAAAUGAGCGUUUCAUUGCCUUCUCUACAAUGGCUGAGUGGGAGUUCAUUUACAGUGCACUGUAGGACGCCUCUCUGGAGUUGUGACAUCUUUAGGAUCAGUUCAGCCAGCCCUCUGCUCCCCAUCAAGCUUUGGUUCACAAACCUGAUGUGUGCGUAAAACUUGUGCAUCAGAUUCUCUAUAAAAGAAGAAAAU